UAGGCUACAUAGCCAUUCAAGUGAUCUUGGAACUGGGUAGUGUCUUCUUUCUGCCAAUUGUGAACCCAUAUCGCGGCACAGCCCGAGAUGAAGCCUCGAACGUCACACGCUACGUCAUUACGCUACGUCAUUUCGCCUACGUGAAGCCUACUCGAUAGGGAGCUCCGUUGGGGGGAGGAGCCGAGGUACUCGACACGCGCCCCGAUGCCUCGACGCAAACCAUAACAUCACUACACAUUGUAAGUUUCACCGACGACUGCUUCCUCAACUUGGUCCAAUACAAAGCUGGACUUGCGGAAGGUCUGGAAAUGGAGUCCGGUUCAGUACCAACACUCCUCGGCUCAGCGUCAAAUCUCGGACAAGCCAGCCCAUCAAUUGGUAACAUUCAGGUGUUUCUCUCAAGGGAUGUUGCCUGCCAUACAGACCACCUGGAAACACAUACUGUAGUCACACGGCUAUCCUUAAAGACUUUCCGGCCCCACUUCACAAGUAAAGAAGACUGCGAUGCCUUUGGAGACCGUAGCACGCAGCGCGGCGCCACCUCAGAGAGUCAGGGUGUGGACGGCCCUGG